GUACACGCUGUGACUAGCAUAUCAAUAAGCGGAGGAAAAGAAACUAACAAGGAUUCCCCUAGUAACGGCGAGUGAAGCGGGAAGAGCUCAAAUUUGAAAUCUUAAAGGGUUUCCCUUUACGAAUUGUAGUUUAAAGAAGUGUUUUCUGUUGAGGUUUUGGUAAAAGUUCUUUGGAAUAGGACAUCAUAGAGGGUGAGAAUCCCGUAUUUGACCUUUACUUUCAACUUUGUGAUACACUUUCAAAGAGUCGGAUUGUUUGGGAAUGCAGUCCAAAAUGGGUGGUAAAUUUCAUCUAAAGCUAAAUAUUGGCGAGAGACCGAUAGCGAACAAGUACCGUGAGGGAAAGAUGAAAAGAACUUUGAAAAGAGAGUUAAACAGUACGUGAAAUUGUCAAAAGGGAAGCGUUUGACACCAGUGUUGUUUUUCUGAAAAUCAAUUAAAGAACUGUUUAUGCUAAGUUGUUUAGACUUUAUCAGUUAACUGUUUAGUUUUGAGCUUUUCUUUAAUGCACUUUUCAGUUAACAAGUCAACAUCAAUUUCUUUUGCUGUAAAAAAGCUUGAGGAAGGUGGCUUGAGAUUCGUCUUAAGUGUUUAUAGCCUCUUGCCUAUGCAGUCGGAGAGAUUGAGGUCUGCAGCGUAGAUCCUUCGGGGCUAAAUGCAUUUGUGCUAAGUUAUAGCAUUUUAUAGACAACUUGUUGACUAUGAUUUGUCUUGUAGCUUACUCGCUUAUGUUAUUUUACCUACGCUUAGGAUGUUGACUGAUAUGUAGUCGU
rnacentral:rRNA from 1 species